AGGCGACGUGGGGCGUGCUUACCAUGCAAGUCGAACGAUGAAGCCGCUUCGGUGGUGGAUUAGUGGCGAACGGGUGAGUAACACGUGGGCAAUCUGCCCUUCACUCUGGGACAAGCCCUGGAAACGGGGUCUAAUACCGGAUAAUACUCCUGCCUGCAUGGGUGGGGGUUGAAAGCUCCGGCGGUGAAGGAUGAGCCCGCGGCCUAUCAGCUUGUUGGUGGGGUAAUGGCCUACCAAGGCGACGACGGGUAGCCGGCCUGAGAGGGCGACCGGCCACACUGGGACUGAGACACGGCCCAGACUCCUACGGGAGGCAGCAGUGGGGAAUAUUGCACAAUGGGCGAAAGCCUGAUGCAGCGACGCCGCGUGAGGGAUGACGGCCUUCGGGUUGUAAACCUCUUUCAGCAGGGAAGAAGCGCAAGUGACGGUACCUGCAGAAGAAGCGCCGGCUAACUACGUGCCAGCAGCCGCGGUAAUACGUAGGGCGCAAGCGUUGUCCGGAAUUAUUGGGCGUAAAGAGCUCGUAGGCGGCUUGUCACGUCGGAUGUGAAAGCCCGGGGCUUAACCCCGGGUCUGCAUUCGAUACGGGCUAGCUAGAGUGUGGUAGGGGAGAUCGGAAUUCCUGGUGUAGCGGUGAAAUGCGCAGAUAUCAGGAGGAACACCGGUGGCGAAGGCGGAUCUCUGGGCCAUUACUGACGCUGAGGAGCGAAAGCGUGGGGAGCGAACAGGAUUAGAUACCCUGGUAGUCCACGCCGUAAACGUUGGGAACUAGGUGUUGGCGACAUUCCACGUCGUCGGUGCCGCAGCUAACGCAUUAAGUUCCCCGCCUGGGGAGUACGGCCGCAAGGCUAAAACUCAAAGGAAUUGACGGGGGGCCCGCACAAGCAGCGGAGCAUGUGGCUUAAUUCGACGCAACGCGAGGAACCUUACCAAA
rnacentral:rRNA from 1 species